rnacentral:rRNA from 1 species
CCUACGGGAGGCAGCAGUGGGGAAUAUUGGACAAUGGGCGAAAGCCUGAUCCAGCAAUGCCGCGUGAGUGAUGAAGGCCUUAGGGUUGUAAAGCUCUUUUACCAGGGAUGAUAAUGACAGUACCUGGAGAAUAAGCUCCGGCUAACUCCGUGCCAGCAGCCGCGGUAAUACGGAGGGAGCUAGCGUUGUUCGGAAUUACUGGGCGUAAAGCGUACGUAGGCGGUUAUUCAAGUCAGAGGUGAAAGCCUGGAGCUCAACUCCAGAACUGCCUUUGAAACUAGAUAGCUAGAAUCACGGAGAGGUUAGUGGAAUUCCGAGUGUAGAGGUGAAAUUCGUAGAUAUUCGGAAGAACACCAGUGGCGAAGGCGACUAACUGGACGUGUAUUGACGCUGAGGUACGAAAGCGUGGGGAGCAAACAGGAUUAGAUACCCUGGUAGUCCACGCCGUAAACGAUGAUAACUAGCUGUUCGGUCUCUACGAGACUGAGUGGCGCGNGCUACGACAUUAAGUUAGUUCCGUCCGUCGGGUAGGUACGGGUCGGCGAAGAAGUUAAAACGUUAACGUAAAGUAAGUAAGUUAGUUACGGUCGUUGAGACGUUCGACCGACGGACGACGACGAGGGAGGAGG